rfam:Gossypium hirsutum cultivar TM-1 chromosome 12, whole genome shotgun sequence
CACGUCAGCGCGCUUUGCUAACGUGGACACAAAUAGCGCUUACGUGGAUGCUAUUUGUAUCCACGUCAGUAAAGCGCGCUGACGUGG